CCCUGCCCUUUGUACACACCGCCCGUCGCUACUACCGAUUGAAUGGCUUAGUGAGGCGUCCGGAGAGCCUAUAAAGAGCUGGCAACAGCACUUUACUGGUUCAAAGUUCUACGAACUUGGUCAUUUAG
rnacentral:rRNA from 1 species